rnacentral:rRNA from 1 species
AUUGAACGCUGGCGUCAUGCCUUACACAUGAAAGUCGAACGGCAGCACGGGUGCUUGCACCUGGUGGCGAGUGGCGAACGGGUGAGUAAUACAUCGGGACAUGUCCUGUAGUGGGGGAUAGCCCGGCGAAAGCCGGAUUAAUACCGCAUACGAUCUACGGCUGACAGCGGGGGAGCUUCGGGCCUCGCGCUAUCGGGUUGGCCGAUGGCUGAUUAGCUAGUUGGUGGGGUAAAGGCCUACCACGGCGACGAUCAGUAGCUGGUCUGAGAGGACGACCAGCCACACUGGGACUGAGACACGGCCCAGACUCCUACGGGAGGCAGCAGUGGGGAAUUUUGGACAAUGGGCGAAAGCCUGAUCCAGCAAUGCCGCGUGUGUGAAGAAGGCCUUCGGGUUGUAAAGCACUUUUGUCCGGAAAGAAAUCCUUGGCCCUAAUACAGUCGGGGGAUGACGGUACCGGAAGAAUAAGCACCGGCUAACUACGUG